AACGAACGCUGGCGGCAGGCUUAACACAUGCAAGUCGAGCGCCCCGCAAGGGGAGCGGCAGACAGGUGAGAAACGCGUGGGAAUCUACCCAUCUCUACGGAAUAACGCAUGGAAACGUGUGCUAAUACCGUAUACGUCCUUCGGGAGAAAGAUUUAUCGGAGAUGGAUGAGCCCGCGUUGGAUUAGCUAGUUGGUGGGGUAAAGGCCUACCAAGGCGACGAUCCAUAGCUGGUCUGAGAGGAUGAUCAGCCACACUGGGACUGAGACACGGCCCAGACUCCUACGGGAGGCAGCAGUGGGGAAUAUUGGACAAUGGGCGCGAGCCUGAUCCAGCCAUGCCGCGUGAGUGAUGAAGGCCCUAGGGUUGUAAAGCUCUUUCACCGGUGAAGAUAAUGACGGUAACCGGAGAAGAAGCCCCGGCUAACUUCGUGCCAGCCGCCGCCGUAACAC
rnacentral:rRNA from 1 species